CUUAUUUACUUCCUACUUUUCCUCAAAAUUCUUCCUUCCUUCCUUUCCUCACCUGUCUGCAGCUCGGAUUUGACUUUGUUCUUCGACAGUGAAGUCGGCCCUUCGCUCGCCGGCGAGUUAAUGUUGUGAAUAUUCAACAGCGUGUCGUGGGACGCAGGCGCAGUGGGACGGGCCCGGGCUCAGCACGGCAGGAGGUUCAGUCCCGGAGCACCUGUGCACCCUCACAAGGGGGACCAUCACUUUAAAACAAUUAUUCAGAUACCACACUUGAAUCCAACACAGAUUCACAUUAGGCUGGCACACUCACACAAUGAGGAGGAGCAGUCCUUCGUCCUAGGUGGGUAAAUGCCGUUUCAGGACAUCCUUGGCAUUUCCGGGCAGCGUCUCGGGAAAGUUAACGUCGAACUCCACCACCAGAUCCCCUCUCUGCUCGGGGUUUUUGGGGAAGGGGAGA